rnacentral:rRNA from 1 species
UACGUAGGGUGCGAGCGUUGUCCGGAAUUACUGGGCGUAAAGAGCUCGUAGGUGGUUUGUCGCGUUGUCCGUGAAAACUCACAACUCAAUUGUGGGCGUGCGGGCGAUACGGGCAGACUGGAGUACUGCAGGGGAGACUGGAAUUCCUGGUGUAGCGGUGAAAUGCGCAGAUAUCAGGAGGAACACCGGUGGCGAAGGCGGGUCUCUGGGCAUCUCCUGACGCUGAGGCGCGAAAGCGUGGGGAGCAAACGGG